CCUCCUUAUACGAUUUAGAACUUAUUUGUUCGUAGUGUCCACACAGAUGAUUGUUAAUUGUAAAGAGAACAACACUUAUUGUUUGGGUCUGUAGCUCAGCUGGUUAGAGCGCACCCCUGAUAAGGGUGAGGUCGGUAGUUCAAAUCUACUCAGACCCACCACUUUGCUCCCAUACUUCGUUAUGGCACGCCUCGUUUAGUGAACUAAACGUCGUUGUACCAUGCCUUGUCUGGAAACAAAGUCGGUAUACAAACAGUAAGACCAGCAUAUGUGGGGCUAUAGCUCAGCUGGGAGAGCGCCUGCCUUGCACGCAGGAGGUCAGCAGUUCGAUCCUGCUUAGCUCCACCACUUUACUUCUUAAAAAUAAAUAUUCUUUUAUCGGGUAGCACAAUCACCUGAGAAUAGAGUGUGUUUAAUUUUGAGAAGUUUUUUGAUUCUCUGCUCUUUAAAAAUUUGGAAAAGCUGAUAAUAAAAAUUCGUAUGAAUAACAUUGUUAUUUGUACAGAGUUUUCAAAAGUAAAAAAGAAUGAUAGCAGUAUCAUUCAGUGCCAAUUUAAUCCUCGGAUUAAUUGGUAUCUACUUUAGUAUUU
rnacentral:misc_RNA from 1 species